CAUAGCGACUAUCGUGGCAUAUCAAUAAGCGGAGGAAAAGAAACUAACUAGGAUUCCCUCAGUAACGGCGAGUGAAGCGGGAAGAGCUCAAAUUUGAAAUCUUAAAGGGUUUCCCUUGACGAAUUGUAGUUUAAAGAAGUGUUUUCUGUUGGAGUUUUCGGUAAAAGUUCUUUGGAAUAGGACAUCAUAGAGGGUGAGAAUCCCGUAUUUGACCGUUACUUUCCUAACUGUGUGAUACACUUUCAAAGAGUCGGAUUGUUUGGGAAUGCAGUCCAAAAUGGGUGGUAAAUUUCAUCUAAAGCUAAAUAUUGGCGAGAGACCGAUAGCGAACAAGUACCGUGAGGGAAAGAUGAAAAGAACUUUGAAAAGAGAGUUAAACAGUACGUGAAAUUGUCAAAAGGGAAGCGUUUGACACCAGUGUUGUUUAGUUGAAAAUCAAUUCAAUAAUUUUUGAUUUUGAGUAGUAUUGACUUCAUCAGCUUGCUGCUUUCUUUUCAGAAAUUAUUGAAUGCACUUUUCAGUUAACAAGUCAACAUCAAUUUCUUUUGUUGUAAAAGGGUAAGAGGAAGGUGGCUACGCUUCGGCGUAAGUGUUUAUAGCCUUUUACCUCUGCAAUCGGAGAGAUUGAGGACAGCAGCGUAGACUCUUCGGGGUUAGAUACACUUGUGCUAAGCUAUAGCCUUGUAUAGACAACUUGUUGACUAUGCUCAGUCAUGUAGCUUACUCGCUUGUGCUAUUUUACCUACGCUUAGGAUGUUGAUAUGCAUGACUGAUAU
rnacentral:rRNA from 1 species